AUCACAUGCUGUGCUCUUGUUCCUGACUUUAAUGAAAACUUUUAGAAUAUUCAUACUAAUUAACUACUUGGUUCAAUAACAAAAAAUAUUCAAUAUUCUGUUUUAAAAUAUCUGUUAUAAAUAUGCCAAUUCAUGUUGUUUUUAAAGGUUGUAAAUCAGCCACAAACUGGCAGAAUAUUUUUCCAGCCGAGACACCCAGAUUAUAUGAUUUCAUCUAUUCUUGCUUGCCUCUGUUGUUUUUGGCCUACUGGAAUUUGCGCCAUCUAUUACGCGAAUGAGGCAAACAAUUUGGCGAGAGCUGGUGACUCUGCCGGGGCAAGAAGAAUGUCUGACAAAGCCAGGAGGCUAAUGAUAACCAGUGUGGUCGUUGGAAUUAUUUUGCUGAUCUUUGUUGUGGUCUUGCGUUUGACCGUAAAUCCCAGUAACAACAGUUCCAGCUAUGGAUACUAGUGUACUUGUAACGACGCCUACCUGUGCAUUGAGAUGACAAUUACUUUUACACUUAUAAUUACACUUUCUCUUGUCCUACUAUUACGAGACAUAUAAAAAAACCCAUCAGUGACUGUUUCGGUCAUCAUAUGUUUAUAAAGAUUCUGCAACAGUACAGAACAUGGUGAAAUCUAUCACCUUGCAUACUCAUUUAUUGGAUAAGGAUAAAUCUAUAAAGGUUUGAUUGCAUGCCCAUUGAUUCUAAUUUUAUUUUCAUCAACAUCUAAUUAGAAGAAAGGCUGGAAUACUAAGAACAUUUCCAUUAGUAUAUAUAAAUCAGAUGAUCAUUUUCUUUACAUUAUCAUUGCUUUUUAAUAUUUCAUUUGUUUGUAUUCAACUGAGUGACAAACCUGAUCAGUAAUGGCGCUAAAUAUAAAAAUGUCUUCCAUGUAUUGCUGCAGCAAUAUAAUAUAACUAUGAAACACAUUUUAAUGUCAAUUUUAGAUUGCUAUCAGGUUUUUAAAACUUCUAAUAUUUCUUAGAGGUCAAUUCGGCCUAAAAUGCUACUUUUUCUUCUCACUUCAUAAAACUGUUUAUUUUUGGUGUCCGGUUAUAAUUUUCUUAAACGGAACUGUUUGCAAUAUAAUAGCUGAAGCAUA